GUCUCCGUAGUUUAAUGGAUAGAAUUUCAGAUUCCGGUUCUGACGAUGUGGGUUCGACUCCCGCCGGGGACACAA
rnacentral:tRNA from 1 species